GGUUUCGUAAUGUACUUUCAGAUUUUGCAUGCAUACUAUAAUUUUCGGGGGCCUAAUCUAUGAAGUUUGCCUCAGGCCUCCAAAAUCAUAGGACCGACGCUACUACACACUAAGUUGAUUUCUAGUGAGUGGAUAUUGCUUGGGAUCAUGGACGGAACAGUGGUUUAUGCCUAUCUCUUUGCUUUUAUUCAUAACUUUGGAAAAUGAAUGAAGAAAAAAAAUUGAAUUGAGUAUUUAUUUUUUUUUAUUUUUUUUUUUUGUGACAG
rnacentral:lncRNA from 1 species